AUGUUGGUGGAGGCUGGAACACCAUGCACCUGUUGGUUGAAUUUGCCAUUCUUAGUGGCAAAGUUUCUGCUUGUAGAUUCUUGUGCUCCUUACAAUAUUUUGUAUUUAUUAUCUUUUACUACUUUAGUAUUUAUUUUUGGUGUUAUAGUUUGCACCAAAAUAGUACGUAAUUUGAUAAAAGCAUUAGAUAAAAUAAUGAGACGACAAGUAACCAAAAUCAAUGCUAUGUACGACAAGUAA